rnacentral:rRNA from 1 species
CCCUUAGAUGUUCUGGGCCGCACGCGUGCUACACUGAGUGGAUCAGCGGGUCAGGUUACGCGAGAGCGUUUCCUAAUCUUCAAAUCCGCUCGUGAUGGGGAUUGACGGUUGCAAUUUUCCGUCAUGAACGAGGAAUACCUUGUAAGCGCGGGUCAUCAUCCCGCGCUGAAUACGUCCCUGCCCUUUGUACACACCGCCCGUCGCUCCUACCGAUCGAGUGGUCCGGUGAGGCUUUGGGAUCUAAGCGAAAAGAGCGUUUCGCUCCUUUUGCUGGGAGAACUCAGUCGAACCUUAUCAUUUAGAGGAAGGAGAAGUCGUGACA